GUUGGCCGUCGGGUACCGUCUCGGUCUGCCGAAUGGGGGAACCCGGUGGGAGUCCGGGGCUGACGCGCAGCGGUAUGGGACGGCGGGGCCGUUCCGAGCCCGAAUGCCCAGGCGGCGCAGCACUUUUGG
rnacentral:ncRNA from 1 species